UGUCAUGGCGGCUGUGCGUCGGAGACCCUCAGGUCUGCCGGUAUCUUUGAGGCCGGUUCGCUAACCCUCGCACAGCUGCCACCUUU
rnacentral:antisense_RNA from 1 species